AGAGUUUGAUUCUGGCUCAGGAUGAACGCUAGCGGCAGGCUUAACACAUGCAAGUCGAGGGGCAGCGGGAUGUAGCAAUACAUUGCCGGCGACCGGCGGAUGGGUGCGUAACGCGUAUGCAACCUACCUUAUACAGGGGAAUAACCUUUCGAAAGGGAGACUAACACCCCAUGGUAUUGAUUUAAGGCAUCUUAGAUUAAUUAAAUAUUUAUAGGUAUAAGAUGGGCAUGCGUAUGAUUAGCUAGUUGGUAAGGUAACGGCUUACCAAGGCGACGAUCAUUAGGGGUUCUGAGAGGAAGGUCCCCCACACUGGUACUGAGACACGGACCAGACUCCUACGGGAGGCAGCAGUGAGGAAUAUUGGUCAAUGGGCGCAAGCCUGAACCAGCCAUGCCGCGUGCAAGGAAGACGGCCUUAUGGGUUGUAAACUGCUUUUACAUAAGACUAACCGUAUAUUUGCGAAUAUACCUGAAUGUAUUAUGAGAAUAAGGAUCGGCUAACUCCGUGCCAGCCGCCGC
rnacentral:rRNA from 1 species